AGAAUGCAGCGAGUGAAUGACGGCUUCGUCCGAAUGACAUCCAGCCUUGAAAUCCUCUCCCAGGCUCUGACGUCACACCUGCAGCAGGAUGACGUCAUCAACCGAGGUACUUUCAUGCCAAGCGAGUUUGUGGAAAGAAUGAAAGCACAAGAGAACGAAAAUGCAACAACUGUU